UCAUUUCCUGAAGGAUGUGCUUUUCGGUACACAGGCUUCCUUGCCGGGUAGUUUGCAGUGAGGACGCCUGAGCCGGCGCCUCUCCUUCGGUCCCGCUCUUCCUAAGGCGCCAGGUCUUGCAAGCUGUCCACGGAGGACAGCGGGAGAGAGCCUUGUCCUCAACCCCGUGCCGUCCCCUGAGGCGCAGGAAGCUGUGGCUCCUCCGCCCGGUUGUGGCUUCGGGCGUCAUUUUCACCAAAUUGGUGGUGUUCUGGUGAAACACUGAGGAACCGCGAAUCCCAGGAGUGUGAGGAACAAAAAGAUGAGUCGGUCUCGGAAGCGUCUGCUCAGGGAGGUGAACCCAGAGCCAGUUCCUUCAGCAAAACUGUGGAAAACCAAGAAGCCCCGAAGACUGGUGCACUGGUCAGCUAGUAAGCAAAUCCGGUCUGAGACCACAAGGGCUGCGAACACUGCCUGUUAGGCUGGAUGCCGUAGAGUUCCCAACGAGUAUUGCUGAUCUGGAUACCACCCUGACCAACUUGGAUGGAGAUGCACUCACACAUGGUAGCUACGGGUUAGAAGGUGAGGGUGACAGAAGCAGACAGCUGGUCCCUGUCACCGUCCCAACAGGAUCAGGUCCAGCCCCUACCCUGACAAGUGGACACCAUUUGAAAUAUUUGGCCAAGCACCUCCUUAUUCCUGUCAAGGGAAGGCCAGAUUUUUGGACUGUCUAAUCAUCCCUUCCUCAAGUCCUUACAGGCACCAUAGCAGACAACUAGAGACACCCAGAGUCAUCACGCCCACAGUCUCCACCACCCUUGACUGAACCAGCACACAGGUUGCCGACCUGGGGACUUGGUGUGGGUCUGCCACUUACCCGGCAAGACUCCGGGACCUUCCUAGAAGGGACCGUAUCCUGGGAUCCUGACUCCGCCAGGAGCUGUCAAGGUAGUGGGGACUGCAGCUUGGAUCCACACUCCCAUCUAAAAGUGGACACAACCAGCCAUGUGGAAGGUGACAAGUGGAAGGUAAUAAAACUCCAAGUGCCCUCUAAGGGUGUGGCUCAACUCACCUUGAACUGACACAGAGGUUGGGGAUCUUGAUAGGUCACUCCUAUAUGUGACCAACUAAAAGUGUUGACUGAAGUCUGGGAUUGGGAACUGUCUCAAACAGCAGAUAGGAAAGUAAGAGGUGUUUUCUGGAAUGCCAGCUCCCAACCUGUGUUUAGAUUCCAUCUAUGUGAUUUCUUGAAUAACAGUGAACUUAUGGCUGAAUGGGAAAGUUAUAGUGCAGUUCACACAGGAUGUGAGACCAAAAUGCUAGAAACAUCCUUCUGGUCUUCACCAUUUUAUGCAUGCCUGGCCCAUGUUUUAUUGUCAUAAUUUAUGUCAUAAUUAUAUUCAUUCAUUUAUUUAUUGUCAUACGUGGGAAAGAGAUUAUCAUUGCUCUACCCCAGGCUGUGAGACUGAGUCUGACCAGGGUGGAUAUAAAGACCAGUUUAUUGGGCCUAGAGAGAUGGCUCAGUGGUUAAGAGCACAGACUGCUCUCCAGAGG